ensembl:misc_RNA Metazoa_SRP Metazoan signal recognition particle RNA
GCUGGGUGUGGUGGCGCACACCUGUAAUCCCAGCUACUCAGGAGGCUGAGGCAGGAGAAUCAUUUGAACCCAGGAGGCAGAGGUUGCAGUGAGCUAAGAUUACGCCACUGCACUCCAGCCUGGGCGAUAGAGUGAGACUCUGUCUCAA